UCUUACGGCCACACCAGUGUAAAUGCGCCGAUCUCAUCUGAUCUUGGAAGUUAAACACGAUUGGGCUCAGCCAGUACUUGGAUGGGAGACCGACUGGGAACCCCGAGUGCUGUAUGCU
rnacentral:rRNA from 1 species